rnacentral:pre_miRNA from 7 species
ACUUAAGAAGUGUAAGACCCCCUUUCGGGGACCCCCAUUCUAGUCUCGGGAGUGUGAGAGCACCCAAAGAAACACGAGGACCC